rnacentral:hammerhead_ribozyme from 1 species
AUCCCGCUGACGAGUCGAAAAUAGGACGAAACACGCGUCCUGGAC